GGGCCCGUGAUCCAGCCAGGACAGGAUGCCCGGCUUCGGACCGGGUAGUCGUGGGUUCAAAUCCCACCGGGCCCGCCA
rnacentral:tRNA from 1 species